AAGCUGCGAUAAGUAAUGUGAAUUGCAGAAUUCAGUGAAUCAUCGAAUCUUUGAACGCACAUUGCGCCCGCCAGUAUUCUGGCGGGCAUGCCUGUUCGAGCGUCAUUACAACCCUCAGGCCCCCGGGCCUGGCGUUGGGGAUCGGCGGAAGCCCCCUGCGGGCACAACGCCGUCCCCCAAAUACAGUGGCGGUCCCGCCGCAGCUUCCAUUGCGUAGUAGCUAACACCUCGCAACUGGAGAGCGGCGCGGCCACGCCGUAAAACACCCAACUUCUGAAUGUUGACCUCGAAUCAGGUAGGAAUACCCGCUGAACUUAAGC
rnacentral:misc_RNA from 1 species